GGAUCAACACGUCGGUCGUGCCUUCGGUAUGAACUGGCGUCGUUGGUUUCUCCCUUCUGACGAACCAAGAUGUCAUUAAGUUGGUGUUUUGGGGAGUUAGGACUGUUACUUUGAAAAAAUUAGAGUGUUUAAAGCAGGCCAGUGCCUGAAUACAUUAGCAUGGAAUAAUAAAAUAGGACGGCAUGGUUCUAUUUUGUUGGUUUCUAGGAUUGACGUA
rnacentral:rRNA from 1 species